rnacentral:rRNA from 1 species
UACGUAGGGGGCUAGCGUUGUCCGGAAUCAUUGGGCGUAAAGCGCGUGUAGGCGGUCCGGUAAGUCCGCUGUGAAAGUCGGGGGCUCAACCCUCGAAUGCCGGUGGAUACUGUCGGGCUAGAGUGCGGAAGAGGCGAGUGGAAUUCCUGGUGUAGCGGUGAAAUGCGCAGAUAUCAGGAGGAACACCGAUUGCGAAGGCAGCUCGCUGGGACGUUACUGACGCUGGGACGCGAAAGCGUGGGGAGCAAACAGG